rnacentral:rRNA from 1 species
GGAACAGGACGUCAUAGAGGGUGAGAAUCCCGUAUGUGACCGGUCACCGCGCCCGUGUGAAGCUCCUUCGACGAGUCGAGUUGUUUGGGAAUGCAGCUCAAAAUGGGUGGUAAAUUUCAUCUAAAGCUAAAUAUUGGCCAGAGACCGAUAGCGCACAAGUAGAGUGAUCGAAAGAUGAAAAGCACUUUGGAAAGAGAGUCAAACAGUACGUGAAAUUGUUGAAAGGGAAGCGCUUGCAACCAGACUUGCCCGCGGGUGAUCAGCCGGUAUUCUUACCGGUGCACUCGCCUGUGGUCAGGCCAGCAUCGGUUUGGGCGGCUGGAUAAAGGCCACCGGAAUGUAGCUCCUCUCGGGGAGUGUUAUAGCCGGAGGUGCCAUGCAGCCCGCCCGGACCGAGGACCGCGCUUCGGCUAGGAUGCUGGCGUAAUGGUUGUAAGCGACCCGUCUUGAAACACGGACCAAGGAGUCUAACAUCUAUGCGAGUGUUUGGGUGUCAAACCCAUGCGCGUAAUGAAAGUGAACGGAGGUGGGAACCCUGAAGGGUGCACCAUCGACCGAUCCUGAUGUCUUCGGAUGGAUUUGAGUAAGAGCAUAGCUGUUGGGACCCGAAAGAUGGUGAACUAUGCCUGAAUAGGGUGAAGCCAGAGGAAACUCUGGUGGAGGCUCGCAGCGGUUCUGACGUGCAAAUCGAUCGUCAAAUUUGGGU